rnacentral:lncRNA from 1 species
GGGACCUUCUCCACGCUCCCGAGGCGAACGCAGGGCGUGGGUGUGCGGAGGGGGGCGCGCACAUCUGGGGAAGAAGCCCGAGUGGGCGGAGAGCCGCAUCUGCUGCAGUGGGCGGGCUGUCGCAGGAAGGAGCCCCAGCAGCCGCCACCGCCACCUCGGGAGUUUGCUGGGCUAGUGCAGUAACUAUGCAGCAUGACUGGACAGUGCGUAGAUUUGAUCAGGAAUUCAUAUCCAGAGCUGCAGCAAAAUACUGGUGUCUCUCAAGCAAGAAAAGGAAAGGUGGGUAGCCUCAAGGCAAGAAAAGGAAAAACCUCCAAAGGAUUUUUCUGUCCCUUGACCAUCUUCAACAGGAAGUUACAAAAAUUCUGACUACUCAGCAGGCUCAGCUUUCUCAAGAAGAAAAGCAAGACAAGAGGCCUCAGCAUCCUCCAGAGAUUCUGCCUCUACCCUGGGAAUAGUGGAUUAAGAUUUGGCGGUGUUUCUGAGACAGAACAGCUGAGGGAAACUGAGUGGAUAAAGAGCAAGAACUUCCUCUUUUUCUGGUCCAUAUGUCCUUGAGGAUGUCUUCCACUUCUUAUGCUUUAAGCCAUCCCUGGCAAUAUAUUGCAGUCUGUAAACCCCAAAUUCCUACUGCUCUUACACUCAUCAGUAAUUUUGACCCCCCAAAUAUCAUCUAGUCCAUGAUUUGCAGCCAGAACAUUUCCUUAGGUUUUUGUUGGGUUGGGUUGGCUUUUUACAAACUGGGAUUUCGUCAAUGUAGGGAGAUCUUGGUGAGGAAUGUCAUCAACCAGUGCAAGUUGGCACCUUUUAUGUAGAAUAAUAAGCUAUUGCCACUGG